rnacentral:lncRNA from 1 species
UCUUUAUGUGCUCCCUGCCUGAAUCUACCAGCCAGCGAAUGACAACUGACUGAGUAUAAAUACUAGGACUACAGAACCGUGAUAAAAGGUGCCUGAGCUGAGUCCACACACUGGAAGCCCAGAACUGAGGGAACAGAUGAAAGAAAGAAAGUCAGCAGGUUUAGGGGAUGAGAACAACUCACAAAGGACAAGCCAUUGGUGUCUCCUGCCCCUGGCCAGGGAGAGCCACAGGCUGGAUGACAUCUGGUUUAUAGUGAGGGGCAGCAGCAACUCCAAGAGGGGGAAGAUGUGACCAUGAGCCCCGCCCCAGACCCAGGAGGCUUGACCUUGGGGCUGCCGUAGCAGUGGAUGCUCUUCAGGUGAAUGACCUAUCCUGGGCCCGUGACCCUGGACUUCAGCCAGAUCAGCAUCUCAAGGUGAGACAACGUCUUACUAUUCUUUCCAGGCUGAUUGGGAACUACUGGCCUCCAGUGGUGAUGCAACGUAGGCCUCUCGCACCCGAGUUGUUUUUCUGGAAAAAGUAAAAUUAACAAACACUUGGCUAAACUAACUAAGAAAAAAAUAGAGAAGACUCAAAUAAAUAACAUGCGAAAUG